UGGUGGUGUUGGCGUUGGAUGGUGAGGCGUGGUGUUCGGUAACGUUAUAGUGCUUAGUUUCUUCUGUGAUCUUCUUUAACUAUUUGUUAAGAUCUGCUAGCUGUAGGUGGUCAUAUCGGUUUCGUUUCAUUCGUUGUUCAGUUGAUUUCUUAUAUGAUUUGGUUCAUAUGUGCAAGACCCGUGUUUGGGAAUCGUUAGAUCGGAGAAGAGCAUAGAAGAGAAUUGUUGGUUUGAUCGGUAUUGCUAGUAUCUGAGAAAUAUUUCUUCUUUUUUAUUGUCUCCUUUUCGUUUCCGAUUUAUUUUCUGAAGAUCUAAUUACCUGGGGCUUAUUUUUAGCUGGUUUCGAUUUCUUAGAUUGUUAAGAUGAGCUGUUUAUGGUUGUUCUGUUGUGUUUGGCUUUGGAUUAAGCAGCAUACACGCUUGAAGGCCGAGGUGUAUCCGUAGUUAUCUUGGUUAUGAGCUUGAUUGAGGGAAGUUGUGUUUUGAUGUUCAAUUUAUGUACGACAUGUACUUCACAGGAAGCUUGAUGAUUUUUUCGUUGAUUUCAGCUCUCUUAUGAAGCAGAGUUUGAUUCAUGAUAUAUUUUUUACGGUGUACCAUGGUGGAGGUGGUGGAUUAAUAAUCAAGUUGACCGAGUCUUUUUGGAUUAUUGCAAGUCUUUCCUUUCCCUUCAGUUUUGGUGGCUUCUUAAAUUGCUUCUUUAUGUUUCACUUCCAGAAGCUCUUUUCAGUAACUUGUUAUUUUAUCCGUAUUGACAUGCAAACCAGUGGUGCUUUGAAUAUUGAUUUAGAUCUUUAAUCUCUGUUUUAAUUGGUCGUUGUCAUGGUUUUGAUCUUUAGGAAGUUAACUGAAACGGUAGAUUUGGUUGCUCCAUGGUGUUUCUUUCGUCCUCUUAAGGCUUGAACUAUGACUGAGAAAAGGAUUUUUCUUGUAUCAUCUCGUCAAUAAUUUUUUGCUUGAAUUUCCAUACAGCAGCCACCAAUUAUUCUGAAUGUUGUAUUGUUGGUGUGAUUUUCCAGGAUCAUGGAGUGAUCUUGAGGUUGAAACCUACAUAUUGGUGAAACCUGUUGGCAGAGUAGUCAGGAGCCUUUUUAUCCCUCUUUAUUUUGUGUUUGUCUGGAAACUGUUUUUACAUAUCACUAGUUAUUAGGCGCAGAGAACUAGUUUCUGAGUUUGUUCUUUUGCCUUUUUCAGCUUUUUUUAUUUGAGGAAUCCGAUGAAUAGGGAUUUUCAGGGAGUUCUUUUUACCCUUUCUGAUAUUGAUUGCCUCCUCAUUAUAUGAAUAGAAUCCUUGAGUGAUUUUGUUAUCUGAGAAUUUGGUGCUUCUUGUUCCAGGGUGUCUUGAUUCCAUUAUUCUGAGAAAUCAAACAUGGAGGGAUCAGUGUAUGAUAUAUUGAUCGGGAAGUUUCUUUUUCCUAGAUUCCUUCAAUUUUUUAGUGUACCCCUUCCCCGUUCUCUCUCUCUCUCUCUCUCUCUCUCUCUCUCUCUCUCUCUCUCUCUCUCUGUUGUUCUACCCGGAUUGGGUGGUUAAUGCUGCUUGUCAGGUAUCCUUUGUUUCCUAAAAGAUUUUGGGUAUCCAAUAAUUGUUUUUUAUUUUUGUUCGUCUCUUUAUUUCCUUCCUUUUUAGCGAUUGAGAAUGAUCUCUUGUAAAAUUUUAGUUGUGGUAUGCGCUUCUAUGAAUUUCCUAAAACUCCCCAUUGUUUUGAGAAUUUGGAUAGGUUUGUGCCUUGAUUAUUGAUUUAAACAGUUUAGAAUUUGGAUAGGUUAGUGCCUUAGUUUAUUGAUUUAAAAAGUUUCGACUUAAAAAACAAGAAUGUAAGAACUUAGAAUGCUUGCUUUUUCGGGACUGCCCAAGUGGAUUGAGAAAUUCAGGAUUUUUCACAAUGCACCAAUUAUUGACAGGAAUUUUUUUUAUACAAUAAUAUGUUUGCUGUAAUUUCUUGUUAUGUUGAUGUGGUAUGGUAUGUCCAGUUCAAGGUGAUUAAGUUGGAGCUUGCCUUUUGCUUGUUGCCAGGAUCUCAUGGGUGCAUAAGAGGGGGGUUAUUUAAGAUAACGGCUUUAUCAUUAAAUUGGUUUAUUCUUCUAGAUCACAAUUUCAAUGUAAGCUUUUGUUUUCUUCCAGUGAGUUGUUUUGAUGGCGUGUGGAUAGGCCUGACAGAGUCUCUGCCAGUUAUUGGUUUAAAUAGAUAAGUUACUAAAUCAAAGUUUCUAGUGAUUUAUUCAUUUGAGAAAUUGAUGGCUUCACAUGCACUAAGAUUGGCAAGUGUUUACUAAUUACACCAUAAUUUCUCAUUGCAUUGGUGUUCUACAUUGCAAGUUUAAGGUGUUAACUAAAGAUAACACUUGAUGCAUAGAGAGAUCAGUUGAUGUUGGAAAGGGAAAGUUGAUGUAUUUAGCUCAUGCUAUGUAGGUAUGUUGUGGGUAUCUGAGAUUCGGUCUUGUGUUCUGCUUUUGAUAAUUCUAAAAUUCGCAGUUUCUGUUUUCAGUCAUGGAUGCAAUGCAGAGCUAUUUAAAUAUCUUGCCUUUCCUUUUUGUUUAAACAACUUUGUUCUUGGCAGAUAAUUUGAAACUUGAGAUUUGAUUAUUGUUUCCCUAGGUGGUUUCUGCCUUCUGUUGACCAUGUGGGUUAAUGAUUGAUUAAAGGCGAAGGGAUUUUCUCAGAUGAGGGACCUUGGAUCUCAAGCUAUAAUUUAUAGUUUUAAGAAUCUGUAUUUGGUAGAUUCUGUGAAUUUUAGUUUUAUUUUUUUUAGUUGUAAUUUUUCAAGAUUUAAUCAGUGUGGUGGACUAAUCAUGAAAAAGUUUUUGCCAAGAGUGACUGGGCUUUUCCCCUUCUCUAUUUUGUUUCUUUAGUCAGCAAUAAUUUAUGAAUCCCAAUUUUUAAAGGAUUUUAAUUUCAGUUGGUAUGUUUUCUCAUGCAUGUGCUUUCAGGGCUCAAGUGUUUUGAGUCUGAGGACCAUGUGGACAAAGAUGGAUCAGGGAGACAUUUGGUUAUUGCUGCUUUAUCUGAAAUCUACCUUUGGGAGGGAGUGUGAAAUUUCUGUUUUUCUCAGAUACAUAUCUUUAAGUAGAACAAUGAUAUAAAUAUGAACAAUUGAAUUUUUUUCUUUCAGGGUCAGUUCAUAUUUUUGAAGUCUGUGGUUGGAAAAUCCUGAAGUAUUUUUUUCCCCUCUUUUGCAAUUAUUUGUUAAUAUCUGAACCCUUGUGCUCAGAACUACUACUUUUUUUUUUCCCUUUUUUUUGGAACUGUUGGAAAAUGACAACUAUUUUUUUUGCACAUUGAACAUCAAUUUUGUUUCAGCUUCUUAAUUACAACUUGGGUAUGAGCUUUUAUGUUCUGGCUGCCAUUUCCCAUUGUUUUGAGAAUACGUGUGCAGGCUUUACCCUUGGUUUUGGGUGAAUAACAAUAUUUGGGGGACCAUUGUUAUCUAUUUCCCUUUUUUUUUUUUCUUUUUUUCGUUUUUAUAAUUUUUUAUUAUGGUUUUUGUGUAAUCUGACUGUAAUUUGGUCUAAUGCUUCUUAAUAACAGCAAAGUGAGUUUGGACUUUCUUCCUAUCCAUUGGUUUGAGAAUGUAUAGAUCUUUGGUUUGAGGAAGUCUGUCUUUAGUUAUUGGUUCAGAAUUCUUUAUCUAAAAUAAUUGAAAAAGAAUUGAGGUUUUGAUUCUUGUUUUUUCAGGAUCUGCUCUUGUGCAUUGAGAAAAGAAAUUCAGGGAGACAUUGGCAAAGAUUGAUCUAGGAAGUGUCUCUCAAUAAUUGAUAAUAUGUUGUCUUUCUUUUGUGUUAGUUCAUGUCAUACGCAGCAAGUUUAAGGUGUUUGAUCAAAGCUCCAAUGUUGUAUUUGUACAGGUUCCCUUCAAUAUUAGAGAGAGAGAGAGAGAGAGAUCAGUUUAUGAUUAAGAGGGAGUAUUUGUCUUUUGCUGCUAUUGGUAUUGGUCUAAGAUUUGAGUAGUUUGAUGAUAUAAUUUGGCUUUUUUGUUGCUCUUUUUAUGAAGAUCUUAUUUUCUGUUGAGCCUGCAGUUUAAAUUCGCUCCAAUGUUGUAUAUGUCCAUGUCCAGGUAUCUUUUGUUAUGAUCGAGGAGUUUGUGAUGUCCUUUGGUAUUUCUGCAAUUGUUGGUCUGAGAUUCAGUUGUGCUGGAACUUUAUUUUUAUUUUUGUGUUUAGUUGGUUCAUAGUGAAACAUUGUUCUUUACAGAUGGUAAGGGGUUAUUUUCCAUCUGGUAUUGAGUAUAUGGUUGAUCAAGGAUUCCGUUGGACUGGUCUCAAAUUUUGAGGAUUUUGUCAGCAAGACUAAUAUUUGAUUCAAGGGAGUGUUAGGGAGACAGACCAGCAAAGAGUGAUUUGGAGCCCCUUUUUUCUUCUUCUUCUUCUUCUUCUUCUUCCCUUUUUUUUUUUUUGUGUAUAUAGUCGGCUAGAUUAAAUCCCUGUUUCUUAAGGCAAAUGGAAUUGAAUCUAAGUUGGUAUGUGCAUUUGUUUUCAGGUGGUCAAGUUUUUUAAUGUGAGCAGCAUUGUGGACUAAGAGUCUGGGAGAUACUAAGAUCUUAGUGUUCCUUUUCUUUUUUGGCUUCAAUGUUUUUGAGUAAUUAAACUUGUGGAGGGAAUGUGAUAAAAUUUAUGAUUUUGCUCUAAAAAUAUAUGCAAGUGUUAAAAAGAACGAGAAACUGAAUAUGAAUUUAAUCUGUGUGUUUUUCAGGGUCUUAUCCUUGUUUGAGAAAAAUUUGGUGAAAAAAAAAUCCUUCUUUAUUUUAUGUUUUAGUUUUUUUUCCCCCUUCUACCUUAUUUUAGUGUAAGACAACAAGAUGUGAUAACAGCUUGACUAUGGAGUGUUCAUGUUCUUCCAAUGACCUAUUGUUUCAAGAAUGUGGACAGGUUUGAUCAAUAACUUUGUGCUUUAAUUUUUGGUUCAAAAAUGGUCAAUUAACUUUAUUUGUACUCACUUUACCCUAUGGAAGGAUUGAUUAGGCUAAGAUAGUCUAUAUAAAAAUUGUGUGUUGGUUUAUGCCUAUUGAGCUAUUUAGAAUGUGAUAACUGGUUGCAAUAAUCUGUAAUUUUGUCAAUCUUCGAGAUUUAUGUGCACUAUUAUGCAUAAGGGGAGUGAUUAUUUGCUUCUGUACAAAUCUGCCUUACAAUUUUGUGUUUUGUAUUAGUGGAACCUUAGAAAAAUUCCCACAUUAGCUUUUACUUCUGUGUUUUAGGAUUGUUUCUUGGUAGAUUCCUAGAUUUGAGUUUUUCGGUUUUCUCAAUUUGAUUGUUUUUGCUGCUCCUGAUUUUUUGUUUCUUUAAAUCUGUGUUAGUUGUUUAUAGUAGUCGCAAUAUCUGUUCCUAGAUGGAUCUUGUGUUUACAGUUGCCUUUGGACAUGAAGAAAGGGCAAGUUCAUGCCACAGAGAGAAGUACGAAUAUAGUGCAUAAUUAUUUACUUGUGAGGAUUAUUCAAGUUUUUCCCUUCUGUUUUGGUGGCUUCCUGAUUUAAAUCUUUAGUCUGUUUUAAUUGGUCAUCUUAUGGUUGAGCUCUUUGGCAAGUGAACUAAAACGGUAGAUUUGGUUGCUCCAAGGUGUUUCUUUCCAUCCUCUUGAGGCAUGAACUAAGAUUGAGAAAAGGGUUUUUCUUGGAUCUUUGCAUCAAUAAUUUUUGCUUGAAUUUCCAUGUAGCAGUCACCCAUUAUUCUGAGUAUUUUAUUAUUGGUGUGAUUGUACAGGGUCAAGGAGUGAUCUUGUGGUUGAAUCCUAUAUCUUGCUGGCAGAGUAGUCGGGCAGCUUUUUUUUCCCUCUUUAUUUUGUGUUUGGAAACUGUUUUUAUACAUCACUAGUUAUUAGGCACAGAAAACUAGUUUCUAAGUUUGUUCUUUUGUCUUUUUCCAGCUUUUUUAUUUGAGGAAUGCGUUGGCUAGGACUUUUCAGGGAGUUCUUUUUACCCUUCUGAAUAUUGAUUGCCUCCCCAUUAUAUGAAUGGAAUCCCCAAGUGAAUUUGAUUAUAAUAUGAGAAUUUGGUGCUUCUUGUUUCAGGGUGCCUUAGAUUUCAGUAUUCUGAGAAAUCAAACUUAUGGAGGGAUCAGUUUAUGAUAUUGAUCGGGAAGUUUCCUUUUACUGGAAUUCCUUUAAUAUUUAAGAGUGACCCCGUCCUGCCUCUGCCCCAGCCCCCCUUCUCUCUCUCUCUCUCUCUCUCUCUCUCUCUGUUUUUUGGGGAGUGUCCUUUUUUUAUUUUUUAUUUUUGCCCUGAUUAGUUGGUUUCUGCUGCUUAUCAGGUUGGGCAUGAGUCGGAAUAUCCUUUGUUUCCUAAAAAUUUUUUGGUAUCCAAGAAUUAUUCCUUUUUUAUGUUUUUACUUCCCUUAUUUUUAGUGAUUGAGAUUGAUAAUUACAAUUGUGGUCUGAGCUUGUACGAAUUUACCAAAAUUCCCCAUUGUCUUGAAAAUUUGGAUAGGUUUGAAUUUGCUUUUUGAGGACUGUCCAAGUGCAAUGAGAAAUCCAUGGAUUAUCACAUGUGCCAAUUAUUGACAAAGGAAGUUUUUUAAACAAUAAUAUGUUUGCUGUAAUUUCUUGUCAUGUUGAUGUGGUAUAAUAUGUCCAUUUUAAGGUUUUUAAGUUGCAGCUUGCCUUUUGAAUGUUGCCAGGAUCCUUUGGGUGCAUAAGAGACGGGAAGCUUUUAUGGGUGAAUAGGAGACAGGAAGUUUUUAUACAAUAAUAAGUUUGCUGUUAUUUCUUGUUAUGUUGAUGUGGUAAUAUGUCCAGUUUAAGGAGAUUAUUGGAGCUUGCCUUUUGUAUGUUGCCAGGAUCCCACGGAUGCAUAAGAGAGAGGUGCAUAAGAGAGAUUAUUUAUGACCUCAGCUUUAUCAUUAAAUUGGUUUGUUCUUCUGGAUCACUAUUUCCACAUAGCUUUAACAUCCUUCCAGCGACUUGUUUUGAUGGCAUGUGGGUAGGACUGAACCAAUAUUUUGCAAUAUCUUAAAUUAAGAAUGGAAGCGUUGGAUACUUUCUUUUGCAAUAUCUGGAUUUAUGCUUUGACAAAUUGAUGGCUUUAUAUGCAUCAAGACUCAAGUGUUCACUAGAAGAAUAAUCUGCCCACGUACCAUAGUUUCUCAUUGCAUUGGUUGGUAUUCUACAUUGCAAGUUUAAUGUGUUAACCAAAGAUAAUACUUUUAUGUAUGGAGAGAUCAAUUGAUGAUUGGAAAGGGCAAUUUGAUGUUCUUAGCUCAUGCUGUGUCGGUAUUUUGUGGGUGCUUAACAUUUGGCUUUUGAUAAUUUUCAAAUUCUUCUUGCAGUUUCUGUUUUCGGUCAAGGAUUCAAUACAGAGAGGGAGAGAGUAUUUAAAUAUCUUGAUCUUUCUGUGUUCAAAGAAAUUUAUGACAACUUUUGUUCUUGGCAAAUGAAUUUGAAACUUGAGAUUUAAUUAUUGUUUCCAUAGGUGGUUUCUGGCUUCUGUUGACUACGUGGGCUAUGAUUGAUCAAAUGCGAAGGGUUUUUCGCCUCAGAUGAGGGGAAGGGGUUUUCUUGGAUCUGAAAGCUAUAAUUUAUAGUUUGGCAAAUGAAUUUGAAACUUGAGAUUUGAAUAUUGUUUCCAUAGGUGGUUUCUGCUUUCUGUUGACUAUGAGGGCUAUGAUUGAUUAAAUGGGAAGGGUUUUGCCUCAGAUGAGGGGAAGGGGUUUUCUUGGAUCUGAAAGCUAUAAUUUAUAGUUUAUCUGUUAGAGUGGUAGUUUCUGAGAAUUGGUUGUAAUUUUUCAGGAUUUCAUCAGUGUGGUGGACUGAUCAUGAAGUGUUUUGCUAAGAGUGACUGGGGGCUUUCAUUUCUUCUUUUUGUUUCUCUAGUCAACAAUAAUUCUUGAAUUCCUAUUUCUUGAGAAAUUUAAUCUUAGUUUGGUAUGUUUUGUCAUGCUUAUGUUUUCAGGGCUUUGUUGUUUUGAAUCCGAGGACUCUGAACAAAGAUGGAUCUGGGAGAUAUUUUGUUAUUCCUCCUUUAUUUGAAAUCCAACUUUGGGAGUAUGAGAUGAAUUUUUGUUUUUUUCUAAAAUACGUCUUAAGUUGGACAGGAAUUUGAAUCUGAACUAUUAAUUUGCGUUUUCCAGGGUCCCUAUUUUGGAAGCCUAGGGUGUGUGCUUUCUUCCUUUUGCAAUGAUCUGUUAAUAUCUGAAACCUUGCGGUUGUUUCUCUCUCUCUCUCUCUCUCUCUCUCUCUCUCUCUGGAGUUUUGAAAAUUGACUUUAUUUUUUUUCAUAUCGAACAUUAGAUUUUGGUUUCUUAAUUACAGCGUGGGUACAAGCUUGCUGUUCUUGCUGCCACUGCCCAUUGUUUUGAGAAUAUCCCUUGGUUUUUGGGUGAAAAUUUUCUUGGUGAAGAUUUUCUGUCUAAGAACAACGGGACCAUGUUCUGUUUCUUUUUUUUUUUUUUUUUUAGUGAUCAUGGUUUUUGUGUAACCUAGUGUUAUGACUAAGUAGUUCGUGAAUGACAUAAAUAGCCCUUUGCAUUGUAAUUGAUAGGAAUCAUCAAAUCAACAAUACAACAGUUAUUUCCUCUCUCUAAUUGUUCUCUCUCUCUCUCUCUCUCUCUCUCUCUCUUCUUCUUCUUCUUCUUCUUCUAAUUCUGGUGUUAUGGUGUUCUGAGAUUUUGCUAUGUAACACCUAGCUUGUCUAUGCUUCUUAUUACAGAACAGUGAGCUUGGACGUUCUUCCCUUCCAUUGGUUUGAGAAUAAAUAGAUCAUGGUUUGAGAAGUCUCUAUGUCUUUAGUUAUUGGUUCAGAAUUCUUUACUUCAGAUAAUUAAAAAAGAAUGAGAUUUUGCUACUGCUUUUUCAGGAUCUGCUUUAGAGCAUUGAGAAAUUCAGGGACUAGACAUGGGCAAAGAUCAAUAUAGAAAGUCUCUUUCUCGAUAAUUAAUAACAUGCUGUUGAUAAGUUUUUCUUUUUGUGAGUUCAUGUUAUGCACAGCAAGUUUAGUGUAUUGAUCAGAGCUCCAAUGUUGUAUUUGUCCAGGUUUAUCGAGUGAGAUCAGCUUAUGAUUGAGAGGGAGUAUUUUACGUCCUGUGCUGCUGUUGGUAUUUUUUUAGAUGUUGGUCUAAGAUUUAGUGGUUGAUGAUCCUUAAAUUGGGCUUCUUUUUGGGUGGUUUUAUGCAGAUUUUUUUUCCCAAAUGUGGUAACUUGGCAUGAGAACACUGGUCUUUGCAAAUGUAACUGAGACUGGUGAAGGGGGGUUGUUUUCCUUUUUUGUAUCGAGUAUUGAUUGAUCUAGGGAUUUUUGGAUCUUGAUUUAUAACUUAUGAUUUUAUGCAUCCUUGAUAGUUGUAGAUUCUGAGUUCUGGUCACAAAUUUUCAGGCUAAUAGUUGAUCAAGGGAGUGCUUGUGAGAGACGUAUCAGCUAAGAAUAAGUUGGAGAUUUUUUUUUGGGUCCCUUUCUUUUUUGUAUUUAUAGUUAACUAGCACAAAUCCCUAUUUUUUAGGCACUUGGAAUUUGAAUAUGAGUUGGUAUGGUUUAUCAUUCAUUUGUUUUCAGUGGUAAAAUGUUUUAAUGUGAGGAGCUUGCGGACUAAGAUUCUGGAAGAUGCUGACAUCCUUUUAAACUUGUGGAGGGAGUUUGAUAAAUUUUAUGAUUUUCUGCUUUUGAAAUACCAAGGAAUGAGAAACUAAAUAUGAACUUAAUCUUUGUGUUUUUUCAGGGUCUCUCUUUGUUUUGAGAAAUAUUUGGUGAAAAAAGGAAGUGUUUUUCUUCUUUUAAAUUAAUUAGCAACAUUUUAGCUUUUGUUGCUUUUUUUUUUUCUUUUCUUGUCUUUUAUCUUGUGAGACAAUAUGUGAAGAACAGCGCAGGUGUGGAGUGUGCAUGUUCUUCCAAUGACCCCAUUGUAUUGAGAAUGUAGACAGGUUUGAUCAAUAACUGUGCUUUAAUAUUUGGUUUGAAAAUGGUCAAUUAACUUUAUUUUAUACUCCUCCCUAUUGAAGGAUAAGGUUAAGAUACCUUAUAAUUUGUGUUAGUUUUUACCCAUGGAACUGUUUAGUGUCAGAUAAUUGGUUUCGAUAUGCUAUUGUGACGACUUCAGAUUUAUAUGCACUGCUAUCCAUCAGGCGAGUGAAAAUUUGCUUCUAUCUAAAUCUGCCUUACAAUUGUGGUUGUAAUUAGUGAAUGGCACAUGACGGCACAAACUGUGUGUAUUGGAACCUAAGAACAACUCUCAGAUUAGCAACUUCCGUGGUGUUGUAGGAUUGUUUCUUCUUGUCUUCUUAGACUUGCAGUUUUCAGGUUUCUCACCUUAUGCUCGCAAUUUUGUUCAUUUGAUUAUUUUUGCUCCAACUUUCUCAGAAACUCUGGGUUUGUUGGUUCUCUCUAUUAGUUGGUUCUCUCUAUUAGUUUUUUUAUGGUUGUUGCAGUAUUUGUUCCCAGAUGACGUGUUCACGGUUGUCCUUGGACUUGAAGACACUGCAAGUUCAUGCCACAGAGGACAGGAUGAAUACAGCGUGUAUUUCUUUCUUGUGAGGACGCUGCAGAGCUUCAAUGAGAAUCCUGCAUGUGUUAUGGCUUGUAGUUUGGUUGCUUCAGUCUCUUGUUCUUUUUUUGUAUCCGUGCCCUUCCAGAAGUCUUGUUUUCUUCUUGGGUCUUCUUUCAGUUCACAUAGCUUGCUGUUUUGCAGUUGCUGAAUGGAUUGGAACUGGGAUGUAGUAGGGUGGCAUUUUUGUGGUUGGUAUUAUAUAGUUUAGUAAGUACUGCAACUGGAUACAGACAUUGGAGGCCAGGACAAAGAUGAUGGUUUAAAUUAUCUGGCUUGACCCUUUCUAUCUGACAAGUCAUUUACAUCAUAUCACGGUCUAAAUCCCUGAUGAUGGCAAUUUCUAUCAUAAGAAAUUAAUGUUGUAACUUUGUUUUCUGGAGAUAACCAGUGGUUUGAUUUUGUUUAUGUGGUUUUUCAUGUUUGGAUCAGUGAUAUAAGGCGGCAAGAAAAUAGAAGCUGGCUUGGGCUUUUUUUUUUCUUUGACUUGAUACGAGAUGGUGAUUUCUCUGAUCGCUGAUGUUGCUUCUUCCUUGUAAUGCAUUAUUCUCUGUGGUAUUACAUCCGAGUCGUGCUUUGUAUCAGUAUGAGCUUGUGUUAGUCCUUUGAUGUUUCUGUAAGGUUAUCAGUGAUGCUAGCUGCAUCUAGUAUUUGCUUCUCUGAUGUUGAUUCUUUGUUAUUAUCAACUUCCUUCCUCCGAUAUUUUUCUCGUUUUUAGAAGGAAUUGUGGCUGGCUGUUCAUGUGCAAGCUUUGCAGAUGUUCUUGUGAUUGGAGAAAGCAAAGGGAAGGCACUUACUUCUUGUAAGCGAAGGAAGAACGCUGAUACUUAUUAUAUGUCACAAAUAUCUCAAGGUUAUGUGUUUUGGGCAUUUAUGAUAAUUUUUGCCUCUGUUGUCUAAUUAUGGUGAUCUUUGGUUUUCUGAUUCAUGGGUGCACGUAAAAGUUUCUCAUAUGUUGGGGAAGAUGAUGGGACAUGUAUUUUCUUUUCGUUCUGUUUUAGCGUUUUGAUGUUAUUUGGUGCUCGCUGAAUAAUAUGUUGCUGAUAUUGGGUACUGGUAAUGAUGUUGCUGAUGAUCUGUUAUCGUCCCUUUUACACUAAGCGAAUCUGGUUAAUUCUUAUCAACUUCGUCAAGGUGUGUUCCAUGGUCUUCUUUUUUCUAGGAGUAUGUAGUUAUGUUUUGUUUGUUUGUUUUUGGGUUUUUUUUUUUUUUUAAUGCAUGUAACUCCGCCUGUGUUGUAUACGCAGCUGGUCCCAAGCCCAGAUAAAGGAGGAGGGUUUUAAAAUAAGUAAUUUGGAUGGGGCUGUUAUUAAUUUAUGUUUUGGAAAUUGUUCUGUAGAGAUGAGCUUUGGAUGCUCUCAUUUGCAAUAUUUGUAUUUUUGCUCUGACAAAUUGAUGGCUUUACAUGCACCAAGAUUCAAGCGUUCGCUAAAAUAAUAAUCUGGCCAUGAUACCAUAGUUUCUCGUUACAUUGGUUGGUAUUCUACAUUGCAAGUUCUAGCUGUUAACCAAAGAUGACACUUUUAUGUAUAGAAAGAUUAAUAGAUGAUUGGAAUGGGCAAUUUGAUGUUUUUAGCUUAUGCUAUACCGGUACUUUGUGGGUAUCUGAUAUUUGGCUUUUGAUAAUUUUCAAACUCUUCUUGAAAGUAUUUAAAUUUCUUGAUCUCUCUGUGUUCAAAGAAAUUUAUGACUACUUUUAUUCUUGGCAAAUGAAUUUGAAACUUGAGAUUUGAUUAUUGUUUCCUUGGUUUCUUUCUUCUUUUGACUACGCGGGCUAUGAUUGAUCAAGGGCAAAGGGUUUCCCUCAGAUGAGGGGGGGAGGGGUUUUCUUGAAUCUGAAAGCUAUAAUUUAUAGUUUUGAGUAUCUGUCAGAGUGAUAGAUUCUGGGAAUUGGUUGAAAUUUUUUUUCAGGAUUUAAUCAGUGUGGUGGACUCAUCGUGAAAUGUUAGUGAUAUUAGCUGGGAGUGACGGGAGCUUUCCUUUCUCCUUUUUGUUUCUUUAAUCAACAAUAAUUAUUGAAUCCCUAUUUCUGGAGAAUUUUAAUCUCAGUUUGGUAUGUUUGUCAUGCAUAUGUUUUCAGGGCUUCAUUGUUUUGAAUCCGAGGCCUCUUAGCAAAGAUGGUUUUGGGAGAUAUUUUGUUAUUGCUCCUUUAUUUGAAAUCCAACUUUGGGAGACGAAUUUUAGUUUUUUCUAAAAUACAUGUCUUAAGUUGGGCAAGAAUUUGAAUCUGAACUAUUGAUUUGUGUUUUCCAGGUCCCUACUUUGGAAGCCAGUGGUGUGUUUUUUCCUCCUUUUGCAAUGAUCUGUUAAUAUCUGAACGCUUGCAGUUUCUCUCUCUCUCUUGUGGAAGUUUUGAAAAUUGACUUUAUUUUUUGCAUAUUAAAUAUUAAUUAGAUUUUGGCUUCUUAAUUACAGCUUGGAUCUACCACUGCCCAUUGUUUUGAGAAUAUCCCUUGGUUUUUGGAUGAAAAUUUUCUGUCCAAGAACAAGAUUUUGGGGGACCAUUGUUCUGUUUCUUUUUUUUUUUUUUAUUUAGUGAUCAUGGUUUUUGUUCUAUGCUUCGUAGUUAUACGUGGGCGUUCUUCCCAUCCAUUGGUUUGAGAGUAUAUAGAUCAUUGGUUUGAGAAGUCUCUACUCUACGUCUUUAGUUAUUGGUUAAGAAUUCUUUACUUCAAAUAAUUAAAAAAGAAUGAGAUUUUGAUCCUUGCUUUUUCAGAAUCAGCUCUAGAGCACUGAGAAAUUUUAGGGACGAACCAAACAUGGGCAAAGAUAAUAUAGAAAGGGUUUCUUUAGAUAAUUAAUAGCAUGCUGUCCAUAAGUUUUUCUUUUUGUGAGUUCAUGUUAUGCACAGCAAGUUUAGGGUGUUGAUCAGAGGUCCAAUGUAACUUUAGGGUGUUGAUCAGAGGUCCAAUGUUGUAUUUGUCCAGGUUCCCUUCGGUAUUAGAGAGAGAGGUCAGUUUAUGAUUGAGAGGGAGUAUUUAAGUCUCUUGCCGCUGUUGCUAUUUUGUUAGGCGUGGGUCUAAGAUUGAGUAGUGAUGAUAUAAUUUGGCUUUUUUGCCGUUCUUUUAUAAAGAUCAAAUUUUCUGUUGCGCUUUAGAGCUCCAAUGUUGUAUUUGUCCAGGUUCCCUUCGGUAUUAGAGAGAGAGAAAUCAGUUUAUGAUUGCGAGGGAAUAUUUUAAGUCUUUUGCCGCUGUUGGUAUUUUGUUAGGCGUGGGUCUAAGAUUGAGUAGUUUGAUGAUAUAAUUUGGCUUUUUUGCCAUUCUUUUUAUGAAGAUCUUAUAUUCUGUUGCGCUGGCAAUUUAAAUUCGCUCCAAUGUUGUAUAUGUCCACGUCAAUGUUAUGUUUUGUUAUGAUUGAGGAGUAUGUGAUGUCCUUUGGUAUUUCUGCAAAUGUUGGUCUGAGAUUCAAUUGUGCUGGAACUUUAUUUUUUAUGAAACAUUGUUCUUUGCAAAUGGUACUGAUACUGGAGAUUUGCUGUUAAGGGGUUGUUUUCCAUCUCAUAUUGAGUAUAUGGUUGAUCAAGGGAUUCUUGGAUCUUAAUUUGUAACUUGUGAUUUUAUGCAUCCUUGAUAGAUGUAGAUUCUGAGUACUGGUCACAAAUUUUCAGGAUUCCAUCGGACGAGUCUCUAAUUUUCAUGAUUCUGGCAGCAGGACAAAUAUUUGAUCAAGGGAAUGUUAGAGAGACAUACCAACGAAGAGUGAUUUGGAGCUUCUGUUUUCUUCCCUCUCUUUUUGUAUAUAUAGUCAGCUAGCAUAAAUAUCUGUUUUUUAAGGCAAGUAGAAUUUGAAUCUAAGUUGGUAAGUGCAUUUGUUUUCAGGGGUCAAAGUGUUUUAAUGCGAGCAGCAUGCGGACUAAGAUUGUGGGAGAUGCUAAGAUCUUGGUGUUCCUUUUCUCUUUUGGCUUCAAUGUUUUGAGUAAUUAAACUUGUGGAGGCAGUGUGAUAAAAUUUAUGAUUUUUCUCUUUAAAUAAAUGCAUGUGUUAAAAAGAACGAGAAACUGAAUAUGAAUUUAACAUUUGUGUGUUUUUCAGGGUCUUAUCCUGGUUAGAGAAAUAUUUGGUGAAAAAAAAAGGAAGUAUUCUUCCUUUUUCUUCUUUAUUUUGGUGUAUUAGUUCUUUUCUUUUACCUUAUUUAGUGUAAGACAACAAGAUGUGAUAACAACUUGAGUAUGGAGUGUGCAUGUUCUUCCAGUGACCCCAUUGUUUUGAGAGAAUGUGGACGGGUUUGAUCAAUAACUUUGUGCUUUAAUUUUUGGUUGGAAAAUGGUCAAUGAACUUUAUUUUGUACUCCUUUACCCUAUGGAAGGAUUAGGCCAAGAUAAUUUACAAAUAAAUUGUGUUAGUUUUUGCCUACGGAGUUAUUUAGAUUCUGUAAGUGCUUGCAAUAUUAUGGGAUUUUGUCAUCUUCCAGAUUUAUAUGCACUAUUAUGCAUCAAGAGAGUAAUAAUUUGCUUCUGUACAAAUCUACCAUAGAAAAACUCCCAGAUUAGCUUUUACUUUUGUGUUGUAGGAUUAUUUCUCGUUUGAUUCUCAGAUUUGGGUUUUCCAGUUUUCUCGACUUGAUUGUUUUUGCUUCCGAAGGAACUUGGGCUUUUUUUUUUUUAUUUUAGAUCUAUGUUAGUUGUUUAUAGUAGUCGCAAUAUCUAUUCCUAGAUGGAUCUUGUGUUUACAGUUGCCCUUAGACAUGAAGACACCGCAAGUUCAUGCCACGGAGAAAAGGAUGAAUAUAGUGCCUAUUUAUUUACUUGUGAGGAACCUGCAGCUUCAAUGGGAAUCCUGCAUGUGUGAAAUGAUGGCGUGUUAUAGUUUGGUUGCUUCAGUUGCUUCAGUCUUGUCUUUUGCCUUUUUAGAAGUUUUGUUUUUAUUCUUGGGUCCUCUUCCAAGUUUACAUAACUUGCUAUAUUGUAGUUGCUGAAUGAGUUGGAAGUAGUAUGGUGGCAUUUUUUAUGGUUGGUAUCAUAUCUUGAAUACUUCGGGAGGCCAGGAAAGAGAUGCUGGUUUAUAAUUUUUGGCUUGCUUCAUCUCCCUCACUCUCUAUCUGACGAGUAAUGUAUAUUAUAUCUCUGCCUAAAUUCCAAAUGGCAAUUUCUACCAUAAGAAGUUUUUGCUGUAGCUUGGUUUUCUGGAGAUGACCUCUUUGCUAUUGUUGUUGUGGUUUUUAAUGUUUGGUCAGUGAGAGAAGGUAGCAAGAAAGUAGAAGCUGGCUUGGGUUUUUUGUCCUUUGACUUCAUGUGAAACGGUGAUUUUUCUGAUCACUACUGUCGCUUCCCCCUUCUUUGUAUGUAUCCUGUGUGCAUUAUUCUCAAUUAGUGAUGAUGAUGAACUGUCUAUAUAUCUCUAUGCCAUUUCAAAGUUGCGCAUUGUCCCCGGUAUGGGUUUUGUGUUACUCCUUUCUCGCCUCUUGGUUCGCACAACAAAUUGAUGUUUUCGUAAGGCUGUGAACGAUGCUGCUGCAAGUAUUUGCUUCUCUGAUGUUUGCUACUUUGUUAUUAUCGACUUCCUUUAUCCCUCUCCUAUAACUGUUCAUGAGCAAAGCCUUGCAGAUGUUCGUGUUUGGAGUAAGCAAAGGAAAGACGCAUACUUCUCGUAAGCAAAAGGAAAGGCACUGAUACUUCUUGUUUGUCUCAAAUAUCCCAAGGCUGUGUGUUUUUGGGCAUCAUCAUAGUAAUAUUUGGCUAUGUAAGUGUUGUUGCCAGUGGCUUCCUGGGUUCUCAAUUGGUGUCUAAUAAUUGACUCUCAGGUGACGUGAAAACAAGAAGAAAGAUGAGGUCUAGUGGUUGUUUAAUAGUCACUCAAAUGUUUCAAUCAGUAAUAAAUUAUAUUGAAAUGUUGAAAUUAUAUUGCCCUAUUUAGUUUUUAGAAUGUAUGUUGUCCUCAGUCUCAAAUUUGUUUAUAUAAAGAUUGAGAUGGUAAUUACUUAUAAUCACGGUUGGAUCUUUGCCAUUUCGUUAUGUAGGUUAUAAUGGAACGUACUUCAAUUAUUAUGUUUAAUUUUAGGCAUGAUCUUCGGCCGUUUCAAUUUCAAAA